CAAUAGCGUAUAUUAAAGCUGUUGCGGUUAAAAAGCUCGUAGUUGGAUUUCUGUCAAGGACAACUGGUCCGCCCCUCGGGUGAGCACAUAGUUUGGUCUUGGCAUCUUGUUGGAAACUGUUGCUGCACUUGGUUGUGUGGCGCAGUGUCCAGCACUUUCACUUUGAGGAAAUUGGAGUGUUUCGAGCAGGCACAUGCCUUUGGACACAGUAGCAUGGAAUAAUUAGAUUGGGCUUUUGCUCCAACUUGUCGGUUUCUGGAGCUGAGGUGAGAAUUAAUGGGGAUUGUUGGGGGCAUCCGAAUUUAGCCGUCAGAGGUGAAAUUCUUGGAUCUGCUAAAGACGGACAACUGCGAAAGCGUUUGCCCAGGAUGUUUUCAUUGA
rnacentral:rRNA from 1 species